rnacentral:misc_RNA from 1 species
ACAUCCUCAACCUGCUCGGUUUUUAUCAAACCAAGUAGGCUUGGAAUUUGGAGGCUUUCUGCUGGCCUCCUCCGAAGCCAGCUCCUCUUAAAUCUAUCAGUGGGAUCCGCUUUGCCAGAUCCUCGACGUUGAUAACAUCCUUCUACGUCUUGGCUCUCGCGCUUUCCACUGACCGUCCCAUCGUGGACAACGUUCGAGCCGAUCGCCCUUCACGGGGUGAGAAGCUUUCGACCCAUCGAA